GGGUGAGUAAUAUAUCGGAACGUGCCCAGUCGUGGGGGAUAACGUAGAGAAAUUUACGCUAAUACCGCAUACGAUCUAAGGAUGAAAGCGGGGGACCUUCGGGCCUCGCGCGAUUGGAGCGGCUGAUAUCAGAUUAGGUUGUUGGUGAGGUAAAAGCUCACCAAGCCGACGAUCUGUAGCUGGUUUGAGAGAACGACCAGCCACACUGGGACUGAGACACGGCCCAGACUCCUACGGGAGGCAGCAGUGGGGAAUUUUGGACAAUGGGCGAAAGCCUGAUCCAGCAAUGCCGCGUGCAGGAAGAAGGCCUUCGGGUUGUAAACUGCUUUUGUACGGAACGAAAAGGCCAGCCCUAAUACGGCAGGCCCAUGACGGUACCGUAAGAAUAAGCACCGGCUAACUACGUGCCAGCAGCCGCGGUAAUACGUAGGGUGCGAGCGUUAAUCGGAAUUACUGGGCGUAAAGCGUGCGCAGGCGGUUGUGUAAGACAGUUGUGAAAUCCCCGGGCUCAACCUGGGAAUUGCAUCUGUGACUGCACAGCUAGAGUACGGUAGAGGGGGAUGGAAUUCCGCGUGUAGCAGUGAAAUGCGUAGAUAUGCGGAGGAACACCGAUGGCGAAG
rnacentral:rRNA from 1 species